ensembl:lncRNA
AUUUGUGAUGUACUCGUCAAUUAAAGCUGAAGUUAAUUUUUCCUUACAUUGCAGUUUCUUGUCUCUUCUCCCUACCCUGCCUCUUUGCAGCAAGGCAGAAGUGUUUCAAAGUUUUGUUGAGUUGUAAUUAAUUAAUAAUUAAUAGUUGUAAUUAAUUUUUUACUCUUAUGAAAGAAGUUUAUCAUGGAGUUUUGUUAGUGUCUUUAGUAUUUUGGAUAUUGUAUAUCAGUUAUUAAACAAUACCUAAAAUGCUGCAGAUGGUCUCUAGCAGUGACAAGGUACUAGUAAUUGACCUAGUAACUGUCCAGCAAUUGACAGUUUCUGUUUUUUUGUUGUCGUUCUUUUCCUUUCAGAAGCUAUCAAUGAAAUAAGUUGUUAUGCAUGACAAAGAAUUUAUAUGCUCCUCAAAGUGUAAUUUCUUUUCUAUGUUUAGGUGGAUUUGGAGGAGGAAGAGGUGGAGGAAGAGGAGGAGGAUUCAGAGGAGGAAGAGGAGGAGGAGGAGGAGGAUUCAGAGGAGGAAGAGGUGGUGGAGGAAGCUUUCGGGGAAGAGGAUAUUAAAAAUGGAGCCACGAGUAUCUCCCCGCUGUCUUACCGUAUCAUCUGCAGAAGUGAAGAACAAGGAAAAAUUUUAGUAAAGGACCCUGAAAAAGCUCUUUUUAUAAAGAACUUGAAGCUGUAAAAUGACAACUGUUUUUACACUUAAUGACUGUUGAUCAGCAAAUGAGGAGAGCGUAGCCCCAGGCGAAGAACAGAAGACUGCUCAGAAUAUACUUGAACUUUUUUAACUAAGUCAGGAUUCAAUGUUAUUCUUAAACUGUUUGUUUCUGACAAGUGACAAGUCAAUGCUUGACUUCAUGUUGGAGUUUGGAGUAAACAAUCAAUUGAAAUGUUUUUUCACAAACCCUACGGGUUCACUACAUGCACAUUCGUCAGUAUGAACCUGUUACCUACAUGUGACUGAUCCCUAGUUCUCAUCCUCUUUUUGUAUUGAAUCUUCUGGGUUGCUCUAAAGUGGACAUGCCAUUUAAACAACCUUUGUGAACCUUUUUUUUACAAACUAAACUUCAAAAUUUUGUGUUAAUAGAAUUUUUUUAUACAUAAUAAUGUAUAAAAGGAAAGGAAGAUAGCAAAGGAUAUUUUGUGGAUUUUUCUGUAUAAAUCUCAAUGAAAGCCAAAGGCAUUAAGAUGUGUUCUUCUGUAGAAGCUAUCUAAUGGAUCAGACAAGGUUAUUCUUAAGUCACCUAAUUGUACCUAAUUACACUGAUACUAAAAUUGCUAAGAGUUUUUAACUGCCCCCACCUCCUCCUUAGCCUGUCUCUCUUGAGGUUUUGAUGUCCUGGCAUUGCACCUCUGGUGCUCUGAGCUUGUGUAGGACUAAGAUUAGAUAGCCCAUCACAGGGUUCCUCUGCACACAGUGCUUUCAGUUAAGUAUUGCUUAAAAAAUGCAUGAAAAAAUUCCACGAAUCUGGUCUCCAAUCCAAUUAAAAUUUGGAUGCAUUAUGAGGAUUGUUGAAAAGGUACUAACUGCCCUUUCUUAAGGGUGGAGGAGAACAGGGUGCCUCUCUAACUUUGGAAAUAAAAUAGGAAUAGAAAAGUAGAAUCUCCCUGGAUUUCAUCCAGAGCCAGGAGUCUGUUCACAGACUCUCAUACGAAGCACUUUUGAAAAGGGAUCUGCAGGAUAAUUACAUGAAAGUAUUUUGAACAUCUUGUUCGUUGUGGAAAGAAGUACAUUUCAGAAUUGAUCGUACUGUUGUAUUUUUUAAUUAAUGAAUGCAGUAACAGGCAAAUGAGUUAUAUUAGCCUUCUGCAUAACAAAAAGAAACAGGUAAUUUGUCAGCACCAGGAUUGCAGUGUAACUGGUCAUUUUAACAAACGUGACUGAGUUUGAAUAAUCUCCGGAACAAGGUAGCAAAACAGAUGUUCAGGAAUUCAGUUAAGUCUGAACAGAUGCUGUGUAGGAUAAUAGAUAAAAAUGUUCUUCAGCUUAAAAAAAACAAACCACAAAACAUUGGAAUUUCUGCUAGAUCUGCUUUUGUGAGAAGAAACUGAGUCUACUUUUCAACCGCAGCACAAUCGGGAAUUGAGGGAUACCGAUUAUAUUCCUGGUAUUGCUACAGACCUAACUUUAACCAGGUCAGUUAAAUCCAGACCUCUGAAAAUGUUUAGACUUGUUGCUGUGUAUUGCUGGGCCUAAGUGACUUAGGGCUCUGACUUGAGGCAUUGUAGAGUUGCCCUUUGUCUAGACAAACCCUGCGCAAGUCAUUGCAUCUCUGGCAUACCACAUUGCAGUUGAACAAUACCAACCUGCAGUGGAGCUGGAAUUAUCAUGUCUUUUGUUGUGUUUGUAAUUGCAACCUCUGCUGUGCUGUAUUCACUGAUGCUUCAGUAGCUAGUUCUGGGUAGCUGACUUAGAUCUUCCCUUAUUUUUCGAGCUUUGGAAGACGUAACAUAACACAGUCCUCACUCUUAUACCGAAAUUCAUGUUCUGCUUUGCUAUUCUCACUGCAUGCUUUAGGGACAUACUUUAUUCCAGGGUAUCAGAAGACUACUGCCAUCACUUUUAAAUUUCAUGACGUGACAGCUGAUGUUUUAAUUGCAUGAAGUACCAUCUUGCAGCCUAAGACAAGAAGUGUAUGCUUUGAAUCUCACAGCAGAUGGAGCAGUGAGUCAGUCUGAGGCCGCUGCAAGAAAGCAGAGAAUUUUACAUCUGUGUGUGGAGGUGUUAAAGAGCAACAUCCAUUGCAGCUCUAGAGGGAACACCAGCCUCUUGAUUAUUGGGAACUGGAUUGCAGUCCCAGCUGAGAAAUUAUGAGGAGCAUUAUGGCAUGCCCUACACAUAUAAAUCAUGUUGGAUGGGAUUAACACAAAUACCCAGAGAAAAUUUGUAAUGGAUGUUUGUGGAGGUUGUAGGAUGUUCAGGUGCUGAUGGAAGAAUGUCCUCAGUGACUGGUUGUGAAAUGAGCUGCCAUAUGAGGAGGCAGUGUCUGGACAUGUCUGCUAUGUGGUGGUGCCUUUUUUUUUUUUUUUUUUUCCCCCUCCUUCCCCAGAAUUGGGAAGGAUUGUGUUUGGUUGUGGCAAGGCCCAUCUAGUCCCUGUUCUGCCUUGUUUUCUCUAUGCCAUGGCAUGACCCUGCCCUCCUAAUGCAAGUAGUUGCUAACUGUAAUAGAUGAAAAUUCAGUGUCUUAAAAAAAUUAAGACAUGUCUUGUCUACAGUGUAGUGCUACAGUGAACUAAAAUACAGGUUCUCUAAUCUUAUAUGACACCUUCCUCUCCGUCUUGAACUUUUUAUUCAAACCCUAUCUGUGAUUCUGUCACUGUGCUCCUGGUCCUAGUGAGUGAAGUGUUUGAGUUUUGCAUAUGUGCUUACAGAUGUCCUAGGCUUUUUCUGCAGAGAAUAGGAAAGGUGGGCUUACCAGCACCCUGACAGGAACAGGUAUGUUGGCAGAAAGGGGAAGUUUCAAGUAGCUGUAGUGUCUGGGGAAAAAAAGUCACAGUGCAGUCUGAAGCAAGGGGGGUGGGGGAGAGGUGUUAGUGGCAGUGUAGGUUCUUGAUGACGGUUUGGUGUUCCCUGGAUUUCCCCUCACUGGCAGCCUUUGGGGCAAAUGGCUGGGCCACCUAAAGAACUUCUCACCUGCCACCCGCUCCAGCAGCCCAAAGGGUGUUGCUGUCCUGCAGUAUUCCUCUGAAGCUCACGAGGAAGGUAGGCUUCAGCGUACCCCACAGUGCUUGGCUUCCCACCCAGGACACAGCAGUAGUGGUGUCACCUACCUGUCUCCUUGUCCACCUGUCAGUGUCUGCAGAUGCUCACUGUUGACAGAGGCAGAGCAUUCAACAGCCAAGUCUGGUUUUCAAAAUGUUGCAAGUGAAUGUGUUACCCACUGCAGUAUUUGACCGAGACAUAGGGUCUGAAUUUCAGCUGAUUUUGAAAAUGACGGCUGGUAAAUCACUAGGAUCAGAUUGCUUAAAGGUAUUUAGAAUACCUUGAGCCUUUUGGCUUGGCCACACUAAAAUUCUGGGUUUAUAUUUUUUUUCUAUGUGGGAUCUAAAUCCUUGCUAAACAGAAGGUAAUACAUGGAGGUGUAUUGUAAAGCUUAAAUUGUUGCCAACUAAGAAUGGCUUUAGUACUCCUGCAUUCCUUCUUGGAGGGAUGUUUUUCCUCCUUGUGUUUUCUGUGGUCGCUGGGAUAGGAUGGCUCACUAUAGUUCAUAGAUUUGCUAUGUUAUUUUGACAGAGAAAUUUGCUGAAGUGCAGAAAAUAAUUGGGAUAUUUUAAUAUGUCUGCAGCACUGGCUGUUGUAGAACAGAAAGGAUUCUCACUAGUACUGACACAAAGUAAUGGAUGUUUGCCUGAAGUAUCCAGUGCUGGAUAGUCACGUACAUACUGGUGCAAAGUUAUUUGCGGUUGUGUAAAGCAUUGUCUUGGCAAGAAACAAUGGUGGUGUCUUUAAAAAAAAGUACAGCUACUGCAUGAGGUAUGGCAAGUAAAAAGCUUUAUGGAGUCACGUAUUUUUUCAGGGCGUUUUCUUCAGUCAGCUGAAAAUCUCUUUAGAGUCAAGCUUUUCUAAUCAACAGUUUAAGUCUCUGUGAGGGAGGGGAAAAAAGUUAUUUAUUAACUUGUUUUCCAUUGGGUUUGAACGGUUUGCAUCUGUUUGCGAAAAUAAGAUUAAAGGGAAGUUCUGCUUUAUAGAGCCCUCUAGUGGUGAUGUGCUUAAUAAACGUAGGAGGGUUUUGCUUUUUUAGCGUGGUUAGCACUGAAAAUGGGAAAGAGGUUUUGUUUUGGUUUUAAAUUUUUAAAUUUUUUUUUUUUUUUUUAACGCAAACGGUAAGUUUCUCUACUCUCAUCACUUGUGGAUUGAAAUAUACUUUACACAUAACUGAAAGCAACUUGCUAAACCCUGUAAUGAGUUUUGCAUUGCCCCAUAUCUAUACAGAUACCUACUGAAGAAUACAGAUACAUAAUUGAAGAAUGGACUUAAAUAGAAAAUGUGAUUUGUUGCAACUGAUCUGGGACACGUGGGAAGGAAAAGCAUCACUUGAGGUUAUAAAGUGCCCCUCUGACACUAGUAAUACUAUCUGAUAUUGGAGGAUAAAAACAGCCUGAGGUUUUGGAAUGUUUUUUGGUUUUUUUCUUAUACUAGUAUUAAAAAGCAAUGUGGUAAGCCAUAUUUUAUCUGCCU